AAGGAUUUAGUUUAGUGGUUCCAACACCUGCCUCGCAAGUACAAGGACCUGAGUUCAAUCCUUAGUAUCCCUU
rnacentral:tRNA from 1 species